AAAUUUGGAAAACAGUUUAGCACAAAAUAAAUUAUCUCACAUAAAAAAUCUGUAUUAAAGUUGAAACAUUAAAAAAUUUUAAAAUGAAAAAUUUUAUUAUUUUAUUUUUUUUAAUUGUGGCAAUUAGCGCAUUGUCAGAAGCUAAGUGUAAAAAAGUUGAUAAGACAUGCGAUGAAUCAAUUGAUUGCUGUUCAAAAUGGUGUUAUGCAAAUACAUGCGUUAAAUGGACUGACGGACCAAAUCCAUGCGCUGAUUUUAAAUGUAUCGAUAAAAAGCAAACUUGUGUUAUUGAGCAUCGAUGUGUUACUGGUGGGUGUCGUCCAGUCGCUACUUGUGUUGACAAAAAAUAAUUAAUUUUAAUAAACUACCAAAUUAAUUGAAUAAUAAAUUUCAUUAAUUUUUUUAGUAAAAAAUGUUUAUUACAAAAUUAUGUAAUUUAAAAAAAAAAAAAUUACAAUUAUUGAUAAUAAUUAAUUCAAAGUCUAGACACUUAGUUAAAUUUUAAAUAAUUAAUUAAAUGGAAAAUUUAUAAGUAGUAUUAAAAAAAUAAAAAAAAUAAUCAAGUUAUUGACAUGAGUAAUUUGCCGGAAAGACUUUAACCUCAUGGAUUGUUUCAUAUCAAAUGACCAGACAGUUCAAGGAUUUUUUUAUUUUAUUUAUUUCCUAGAUCAAAGGAUUAAUUAACCAAAUAAAUAUAAUUAACUCGUA